rnacentral:rRNA from 1 species
AUGGCAAUGCCCACGGUUACUAGCACCGAGUACCUCAUUAGGCACCCAUUGGCAAAUUCAAGUCGCGGUGUGUGGCGCGAAGUUGACGAUAACUUUGAUUCCAGCAACAAUGAUAAGGGCGGUAAGGAUGAGGUCACAAAUAGUUUUGAGGACCAUACCGAGGCAGUGAGCGAGGAUUCUGAGGAGCGUGCCUUAGAUGAACUUCGAAAGAAAACUGGCGAUGACAUGAUUCUCGAGGGCGCUACAAGUUGGUUAGAUGACGAUGUUCCUUAUGAACCCAAGGAUAUCAUCACCGUCAUUCGAUACCUGAUUGAGUCACAUGGGAAACUGCUCAUGGUGAAGAGACAAUUGCAUUGGCCUCCAUAUAGUAUCAACUUCACUAGCAAGGUGGAGGUUUACAAGAUGGAUGUCAACGAUGACAUGCACUGGGUGCCAGUUUCAGGUGGGCUAAGCGGCAAAGCACUUUUCAUCAGCAGAUUCUUCUGCAAGUCCAUUCAUACCUGUGAAGAAGGGGACCGUGAUGCUCUUCAUUUUAUCGACAGUGGUGAAAAAUACGAUAUGAAAUCCCAAAUUGUGAGCCCGAGCUGGAGAGAUAUUGAUCUCUAUAGGUCCACAUGGAUAUUUUCUCAGGAGCUAGUGGUUUGA